GGCGGCAGGCUAUAAUGCAAGUCGCGCGGACAGAUGGGAGCUCGCUCCCUGCUGUUAGCGGCGGACGGGUGAGUAACACGUGGGUAACCUGCCUGUAAGACUGGGAUAACUCCGGGAAACCGGGGCUAAUACCGGAUGCUUGUUUGAACCGCAUGGUUCAAACAUAAAAGGUGGCUUCGGCUACCACUUACAGAUGGACCCGCGGCGCAUUAGCUAGUUGGUGAGGUAAUGGCUCACCAAGGCAACGAUGCGUAGCCGACCUGAGAGGGUGAUCGGCCACACUGGGACUGAGACACGGCCCAGACUCCAACGGGAGGCAGCAGUAGGGAAUCUUCCGCAAUGGACGAAAGUCUGACGGAGCAACGCCGCGUGAGUGAUGAAGGUUUUCGGAUCGUAAAGCUCUGUUGUUAGGGAAGAACAAGUACCGUUCGAAUAGGGCGGUACCUUGACGGUACCUAACCAGAAAGCCACGGCUAACUACGUGCCAGCAGCCGCGGUAAUACGUAGGUGGCAAGCGUUGUCCGGAAUUAUUGGGCGUAAAGGGCUCGCAGGCGGUUUCUUAAGUCUGAUGUGAAAGCCCCCGGCUCAACCGGGGAGGGUCAUUGGAAACUGGGGAACUUGAGUGCAGAAGAGGAGAGUGGAAUUCCACGUGUAGCGGUGAAAUGCGUAGAGAUGUGGAGGAACACCAGUGGCGAAGGCGACUCUCUGGUCUGUAACUGACGCUGAGGAGCGAAAGCGUGGGGAGCGAACAGGAUUAGAUACCCUGGUAGUCCACGCCGUAAACGAUGAGUGCUAAGUGUUAGGGGGUUUCCGCCCCUUAGUGCUGCAGCUAACGCAUUAAGCACUCCGCCUGGGGAGUACGGUCGCAAGACUGAAACUCAAAGGAAUUGACGGGGGCCCGCACAAGCGGUGGAGCAUGUGGUUUAAUUCGAAGCAACGCGAAGAACCUUACCAGGUCUUGACAUCCUCUGACAAUCCUAAAGAUAGGACGUCCCCUUC
rnacentral:rRNA from 1 species